rnacentral:rRNA from 1 species
UGGGGAAUCUUGCGCAAUGGGCGAAAGCCUGACGCAGCGACGCCGCGUGGGGGAUGAAGCAUUUCGGUGUGUAAACCCCUUUCGACUGGGACGAAUGCCUCGCAAGAGGAGUGACGGUACCAGUAGAAGAAGCCCCGGCUAACUACGUGCCAGCAGCCGCGGUAAGACGUAGGGGGCCAGCGUCGUUCGGAAUUACUGGGUGUAAAGGGUUCGUAGGCGGUGUGGCAAGUUGGGAGUGGAAUCUCUGGGCUUAACCCAGAGGCUGCUUCCAAAACUGCUGUGCUUGAGUGUGGGAGAGGCGCGUGGAAUUGCAGGUGUAGCGGUGAAAUGCGUAGAUAUCUGCAGGAACACCCGUGGCGAUAGCGGCGCGCUGGACCACAACUGACGCUGAGGAACGAAAGCUAGGGGAGCAAACAGGAUUAGAUACCCUGGUAGUCCUAGCCCUAAACGAUCAGGACUUGGGGUGCCACCCGUUCGGGUGUCGUCCCGGAGCUAACGCGUUAAGUCCUGCACCUGGGGAGUACGGUCGCAAGACUU